UACGUAGGGCGCAAGCGUUAUCCGGAAUUAUUGGGCGUAAAGAGCUCGUAGGCGGUUUGUCGCGUCUGCUGUGAAAACGCGAGGCUCAACCUCGCGCCUGCAGUGGGUACGGGCAGACUAGAGUGUGGUAGGGGAGACUGGAAUUCCUGGUGUAGCGGUGAAAUGCGCAGAUAUCAGGAGGAACACCGGUGGCGAAGGCGGGUCUCUGGGCCGAUACUGACGCUGAGGAGCGAAAGCGUGGGGAGCGAACAGG
rnacentral:rRNA from 1 species